rnacentral:rRNA from 1 species
CAGAGGUCCCGAGCGUUGUUCGGAUUCAUUGGGCGUAAAGGGUGCGUAGGCGGUCUGCUAAGUUUGGUGUGAAAUCCCGGGGCUCAACCCUGGAAUGGCAUUGAAUACUGGCGGACUAGAGUACCGGAGAGGAAACUGGAAUUUACGGUGUAGCAGUGAAAUGCGUAGAGAUCGUAAGGAAGACCAGUGGCGAAGGCGAGGUUCUGGACGGUAACUGACGCUGAGGCACGAAGGCCAGGGGAGCAAACGGGAUUAGAUACCCCGGUAGUCCUGGCAGUAAACGGUGCAUGUUUGGUGUGGGAGGAAUCGACCCCUUCCGUGCCGGAGCUAACGCGUUAAACAUGCCGCCUGGGGAGUACGGUCGCAAGAUUA